rnacentral:lncRNA from 1 species
AACCAAGGUCAGGUCCUAUAAUACGCACCCCCGCAAUAUUUUUCAACCGUAUGAUCUUGAGAUACGGUAGCUGCCCAAAAGGUGGAAGUGUGCCCCAAGUCACACCAGAUAAAGCAAGAGACUCCAAAUGUUUAAAGGGUGUGUCAUGACACAACCAACAAGGAGGACCAACGCCUCCACCAUGAUCUUCAAUGGCAAGUUCUCUGAGAUUAUCAUGUGGUUGGAGACCAUCAACAACAUCGGUAGCACCUGCAACUGCUUGAUCUGUACCCCAAACUAGUGUCAAUGUUUUCAGACUCCUUUUCAAAGCCAGAUUGGCUUUAUUAGCUUCUUCCUUGCUAGCAACCUUUUCAAGAUUACGUACACAGAGUUCUCCUCCAAGAUCUGUCAUUUUCCCCAACUCUUCCAUUUCAAAUCCAACAGUCUCUUUCUUAACAUGGAAUUCUUUUAGCUCUUUUAGAUGCUCUAACUUACCAACCUCAGGAACAUUGGAGUGGAGUUCAUUUUUAGCAAUGAAAUGGCGCAAAUUCACAAGUCGGCUAAUGUACUCAGGCAAACUAGAACUACCGUGCCAAUCUCCUAGGUCCAAGAAUAUCAAAUGAUAAAAUAAUGGGAGUGCACUGGGUAAGCUCAUCUCUGAUAAGCCAUAUGGUGAGCUAACUCUUAGGUACCGGAGGUGGAGAAGUUUUGAGAAGUUUUUGGGCAGAGAGUCUGCAGAGCUCAUUACUAUAAAUAGGACACGGAGAUCCUUUAUUUCCUCAAACGUUUCUUUUAAGAUGUCAGUGAUACCUUUAUUGUAUUUUCUAAAUAUCAUCAAAGUCCCCAACUUACCGAUAUUUAUCUUGCUCUUCAGUUUAGCCAUUUCUCUCCUAAAAUUUUCAGCACAUCUGUCUUCCAUGGUGAUGGACAAGAUAUUGCAGUUAGAUAGUCUAGUUAUGAUCCUUUUUUAUAGCGUAGUGAUGUAACUUCUGCACGCUUGUCCACUUCAGUAAAUAAUGAGUAGAUGCAAGUGGCACUUGAUUAGUGUGCCACUCGAACUCUAAUAGAUUGGAAAGGCAUCUUAACAAGCUUGACCUCACACGGUGCACUCAAGGAGGAUGCUUCGUUUCUAAGAUAAACAAAUUAAGAGGAAUUCACACAUGAGGCCCGAGCUGGAGACAAACAUGUCCAUUGAAGGUGGUUGUGGGAUGGAUGCGUAACAAUAACUAAAACACAAGGACCUGAUCAUGCAUGUUUCUUUAAAUAAAAAACACACAAGUAGUAGUAGUACUAUAUCAUACCAGAUCGAUCAAUGUGUGACUUAUGCGGCCGGCCAACGUGUAAAGAGAUUCAAGAGAAGCGCGAGAGAUACAUAAUGGAGUUGGUGUGUUGUUUUGCUUGUUGAACCAUUCGGGAUUAGAUAUAGACGACUCGAAGGGUGAACCAACGACUAGAUGCUACAGACACAGGUUCACAGCAUGAUUACAUAGUAUUGAGACGACUGCUAGAGACCAAUCAUGUAUGGCAACAACCGCGCGACGAAAAGAUAUGCAGUUGAACCAUUCGGGAUUAGAAUCUAGACUCGAAGACGAUUCAUCUCCAUCGAUCCUCAAUGCUAAGAAAUGUAAAUAAAAUAGGUGGGAAGGUAGGGCUCACCUGGAUCGACGAAAUCGACAAAUUGGGGGUGGUCGACCGGAGCCGGACUCGGGGAAGACGGAGGCGCGAUCUCCGUGGACCCUCCAUGGAUUCCGAAUUAACGAGGUGGUAACGGCAGGCGGGGAACGACAGACCUCCAUCACCAAGGUCUCGCCGUCGCUUUCGAACUGUAGCGCCGACGAGUGUCGUGGCCGGGCGCGCGCGCCUUCUGGAGCAUCAGUGCGGAUGAGUAAGGUGCUGUCUGUGUACGAAGCGGGUGAGGGGCUGCAGGUGAGUGAGUUAACGAGGUGGGAACGGCAGGCGGGGCUCCAUUCCGGCGAGGAGGUCGCCGUCGCCGGGGACGUCGAGUCCCGGCGGCAGCGAGCGAGCACGAAUGGGCCUGGAGUAGUUGUGAAGCUACCGGCCCAUCCAUUCGUUUUCAGCUGUCUCUUUGUUGCGGCGCCACCACCGCCCAGACCGGCCCGGCCCAAUUGAACUAGCAAAUAAAUAUUUUCCAUCCCUUUCUCAACUGUGAGGUGAUGGCCUUCGCUUCUUAACUUGUCCCUCGACACCAAUCGGCCAUCAACACAAAGGCCAUAUAGGAGGAGGAUGAGGAGCUCGCCGUGGCCACGCGCAAUGGGCAGGCCUGGGAUCUCUUUUGGCCCAUCUCGCUUUUCUUUUCUAUUUCUUGCGGCCCAACAAGACCACAAUGGCUUACGGGCUUAUCGCACUGGGGUUUAGAUUUUUUUUUUCUUUUCCCGGUGACCACUAAUUUCUGCAAAGUGUCGUUCUGUUGUUGAGCCUACAUUCAGUGACAAAUUACAAGACAAUUGCUGCAACAUGAUAAUAAACUCAAUUGUGUGGAGCUCAUCCACUCAGAAAAAAGCUCUUAUUGUACGCCCAAAAGGCAAGAACGGGCAAGUAAACUGUGAUGCCUAAUCAUACUCCGAAGAUGCAAAUAAUGCAGGUUCGUCAAUACAACAACAAUGUCAUUGGCCACGUCUCAAGCACCACCAGUACGUACAUUUUUUUUUCUUCCUCACUCUAAAACUUCUUGCUGGAACUCAACACACGAGUUUCCAAGGCAGCCGUCAUCAUCAUUUCUGGUGUCAACUUCCAUCCUUGCUCCCAGAAAUUAAGCGAAUCAGAAGAACCAUAUGUUCGCCAGCAGUGGUGCCUCUGUCCGCAAACGAGAGCCCAUGAAUGAUCAGCCAAAUCUCAAAAUCUUGAACCAUAACUUCCUUCUCAGGCCUCAGGACUGGGUCCAUCAAGAGGCCGGGAGGAGACCACCUGAACAAUGAUGCCAUAUGCUUGAAAUGAGUCCGUGUGUUUUGUAGGAUUUUCCUAAAACAAAAUCGAAAGAGUAAAGCGGAAGGAUGACCAACUGGCCUUGGAGAUGAUGGUAGAUGCAGUCCUGCACAGCUCCUUCAAGACAACAACACAGAUGCUCCCAUUGCCUUUAUUGUUUGGAUGCAACAAAAUUGGAGUUCUGAACGCCAACUGCAGAAUUUACAGUUAAUUGCCAGUUUAUGCAGAAAACCUGGGUAACAAUGUAACGUCAGAAAAUGAAACAUCUAGAUUCACUCAUGGAUAUAAAUGCUCAGCCAUUGCUUUGAGUUGGUCAUAAGCAAACCUGCUCGGUAAGAGCUGAAACUCUGAAGGGUGCCAGUGAAACGUCAGCACGCAUAAUGUCAAUUUUUUCAUAUAAAAAAAGGAAGAAGCAAAAGAAUGGCAAACUGACCUCUGAGAUAUAGUAGAUGCAGAACUGCGCGGCUUCUUCAAGACAGAUGCUCCCAUUGCUGUCGCUGUUUGGAUGCAACAAAAUAAGAGUUCUGAUAACCAACUGCAAAUUUUACAGUUGGCUGCAAUGGUUCUGCAGAACCUGAGGAACAAUGUAACGUCAGAAAAUGAACAUCCAAAUUCACUCAUGGAUAUAAAUAUUCGGUGAUUACUAUGAGUUCAUCACAAGUUAACCUGCUAAGUAGGAACUGAAACUCUGAAGUAUGCCAGCGAAACAUCACGAUAUAUGAAAUGAAAUCUCCAGUCUGCACAACAUGCAGUUGACAGUUGGUACGUAGUACCAUGGACUGACCAAGACCACAACCAGAUAAUCAACCUGCUCCAGUAUUGUAUGAAACAUGUUUCAGCAUUGAGAUAUUAAGAGAAGGCAAAGAAUACAUUGAGAAAGGUGUGCUGCAUGCACCAUACAAUAUUGACAAUCCAAUAUUAAAAAAAAAACUGACAAUCUAUUACCUGCCGAUCCAAGUUGACAAAAUGUUGUGCCAAGGGAACCUGAAAAGAAUGGAGAAAGCACAUGCUCUGGUUGUUCCUGAAAAAAGGAAUGGCAUAAAAAGGAAAAGAAGUAAGGACAUUUAUUAAGCAUAGAGUUUGUAACACCGGAAUGAUGAGAAGGUACUGACAUGUAUAUGCUACUUCAUCAAGCAUUAAGGUUCAGAACUGCAAGAGGGAGGGACUUGGUCUUGUUCUUCCUAAUCUGAAAAACAAAGUAACGGCAAGAGUUUGUAAUGCACAGUAGAAACCGGAUUGCAUAUUUCAGCUUGCCAUUACUCGAAGAGAAAACAGAAACCUUGGAGGCGACAAGUGUUACCGUGGAUUUGUACUCAUUGUUGACGCACGUACAUGCAUGUGGCAUGACUUGUUGCAGCCAGAUGCACAUACAGACAUAUGUACGCAUUGCACACAGCAAGCAAUUUGAACCCGUGACGUAGAACAUAGCCGUACGUGCCAGCUGCAAGCCUGUCAGGAUUCACAAGUCAGUGCUAUAUAUUAAUUAAGAAAAACAGAGGAAUAAGGAACACGGUAACAGCAAGUAACAAGCUAGUGGGGGUGAGGACUCGCACGUUACCUUGGGCUAGGUCAAACAAUCCACGUAUAAAUCUGGCUUUGUUCCUUGUAAUUCCUUGGCUUGCUCGUGUAGCUCGGGACUGCAACUGCGUGCGAAUAACGCUUGCAGAGAAGUGGGUAGACCCUCCUUUGGCAGCGAUCGGAUCUCAGGACAGCCCGAGAGGCAGAGAGUCCUGAUAGAGUUUCGUGAGAGAAGCGGGGAGGCCCCCCUUGGGCAGCGACCGGAUCUCAGGACAACCAACGACUUGUAGUUCCGUGAGAGAAGAAAGGCUGUGUAACCCUUCAGGGAGGGACGGCAGACCCGGGCACUUCCAAAAAAAUAGGGUUUGGAGGGAGGUGAGGAGCUGAAGCGCAUCCUCUUCCUCUUCCGUGAAGCUUUCCACCCGCUGAUCACAACUGAAGACUAAUUCGUGGAGAGUGGUGGCGAAGAGGCUGCAGACGGGAGCAGCAAGCAUCGCUGAGAUGCAAUCCACGUCGAGUGUUUCCAAUUGGAAGCAGCCUGCAGCAGGCAACAACAGUUUGGUCGUGCUUGCCACCACCAAUUCUGAGAGAAGAUCCGCGGCUACAGAGCGAGGACCCUCUCGUCCUGUGUUGUAGACCGCCAAUUUCUUGAGGUUGACAGCUGCGAUGAGAGGAUUGAACCCAUCCGCUGUUAAAUUCUCGCAAUCUAUUAGUGAUAGACUGGUGAGAGACGUGGGGAGGUUUGAGAGCAGAGCCAUUGAUAGAAAGCCUGGGUCUUCUUCAAUCAAAAAUUGCCUGAGGGAGGUUAGAGUUGGAAGUUCCGCCCAUGGAAUUGUUGACCCCCCUGAAAAUGAGAUGCUGUCAAGUUUGCCCAUAUUUUCGAAGGCUAAUGCACUGCCAUAGCUCCGCAAUACCAAACGAUCUCCACUGUAACUCAUUGUCCCAAGGCUAUCACCUACUUCAACACGUAUCAGGACACGUAUCAGGGUGGAAGUAUAAGGCAUGGGGGGCAGGGGCAACUGAGGGCAUUCUGUAACAAGAAAUUUAGAUAGGUUGGGAUAGUGUAUGUCUUUUGUGCAAGGGACAAGGCAAUCAGAAAAAAAUGGCAGUGCAAGGAAUUUGGGACAAUUUUUGCACACGAUGCUUUCAAGAUUUGGAAACGAAUGGCAGUUAGGUCCCACAUCCCACUUCUCGAGAUCUGGCAUCCCAUCAAAUUCAACUUCCUUCAAGUGAAUGAAACCAAGGUCAGGUCCUAUAAUACGCACCCCGGCAAUAUUUUUCAACCUUAUGAUCUUGAGAUACGGUAGCUGCCCAAAAGGUGGAAGUGUGCCCCAAGUCACACCAGCUAGAGCAAGAGACUCCAAAUGUUUAAAGGGUAUGUCAUGACACAACCAACAAGGAGGACCAACGCCUCCACCAUGAUCUUCAAUGGCAAGUUCUCUGAGAUUAUCAUGUGGCUGGAGACCAUCAACAACAUCGGUAGCACCUGCAACUGCUUGAUCUGUACCCCAAACUAGUGUCAAUGUUUUCAGACUCCUUUUCAAAGCCAGAUUGGCUUUAUUAGCUUCUUCCUUGCUAGCAACCUUUUCAAGAUUACGUAAACAGAGUUCUCCUCCAAGAUGUGUCAGUUUCCCCAACUCUUCCAUUUCAAAUCCAAGAGUCUCUUUCUUAACAUGGAAUUCUUUUAGCUCUUGUAGUUGCUCUAGCUUACCAACCUCAGGAACAUUGGAGUGGAGUUCAUUUUUAGCAAUGAAAUGGCGUAAAUUCACAAGGCGACUAAUGUGCUCAGGCAAAUUAGAACUACUGCGCCAAUCUUGUAGGUCCAAGAAUAUCAAGUGAUAAAAUAUUGGUAGUGCACUGGGUAAGCUCAUCUCUGAUAAGCCAUAUGGUGAGCUAACUCUUAGGUACCGGAGGUGGAGAAGUUUUGAGAAGUUUUUGGGCAGAGAGUCUGCAGAGCUCAUUUCUACAAGUAGGACACGGAGACCCUCUAUUU